UACGGGGGGGGCAAGCGUUGUUCGGAAUUACUGGGCGUAAAGGGCUCGUAGGCGGCCAACUAGGUCAGACGUGAAAUCCCUCGGCUUAACCGGGGAACUGCGUCUGAUACUGGAUGGCUUGAAUCCGGGAGAGGGAUGCGGAAUUCCAGGUGUAGCGGUGAAAUGCGUAGAUAUCUGGAGGAACACCGGUGGCGAAGGCGGCAUCCUGGACCGGCAUUGACGCUGAGGAGCGAAAGCCAGGGGAGCAAACGGG
rnacentral:rRNA from 1 species